CACGCCGUAAACGAUGUCAACUAGUUGUUGGGGGUCUUGUACCUUUAGUAACGCAGCUAACGCAUUAAGUUGACCGCCUGGGGAGUACGGCCGCAAGGUUAAAACUCAAAUGAAUUGACGGGGGCCCGCACAAGCGGUGGAGCAUGUGGUUUAAUUCGAAGCAACGCGAAGAACCUUACCUGGCCUUGACAUGUAGCGAACUUUCCAGAGAUGGAUUGGUGCCUUCGGGAACGCUAACACAGGUGC
rnacentral:rRNA from 1 species